rnacentral:misc_RNA from 1 species
GAUGAAGAACGUAGUGAAAUGCGAUAAGUAGUGUGAAUUGCAGAAUUCAGUGAAUCAUCGAAUCUUUGAACGCACAUUGCGCCCUUUGGUAUUCCAAAGGGCAUGCCUGUUCGAGCGUCAUUUGUACCCUCAAGCUUUGCUUGGUGUUGGGCGUCUUGUCUCUAGCUUUGCUGGAGACUCGCCUUAAAGUAAUUGGCAGCCGGCCUACUGGUUUCGGAGCGCAGCACAAGUCGCACUCUCUAUCAGCAAAGGUCUAGCAUCCAUUAAGCCUUUUUUUCAACUUUUGACCUCGGAUCAGGUAGGGAUACCCGCUGAAAUUAAGCAUAUCAAUAAGCGGAGGA